AACCCUGAUCCAGCGACGCCGCGUGUGUGAAGAAGGCCUGCGGGUUGUAAAGCACUUUUAGUGGGGACAAAAAGCUACGGACUAAUACUCUGUGGUCUUGAUUUAACCCAAAGAAAAAGCACCGGCUAACUCUGUGCCAGCAGCCGCGGUAAUAACAGAGGGUGCGAGCGUUAAUCGGAAUUACUGGGCGUAAAGCGCGCGUAGACGGUUUUGUAA
rnacentral:rRNA from 1 species